AGCUCCAAUAGCGUAUACUAAUGUUGUUGCAGUUAAAAAGCUCGUAGUCGGAUUUCUGUUUAUUUACAUUUGACCUUUCUUGGUUUUGAUGUGAAUUUACUUUAUGCAAGAAACUUUCAUAUUAUUCAUUUGAUAUGUUUUGGGACUUGCUCAUUUACUUUGAGAAAAUUAGAGUGUUCAAAGCAGGUAUUUGCCUGAAUAUUACUCUUGGAAUAAUAAUAUAGGACUUCAGUUCUAGUUUGUUGGUGAUCUGGAACCGGAGUAAUGAUUGAUAGGGACAGUUGGGGUCAUUCAUACUGCAAAGCGAGAGGUGGAAUUCUUGGACCUUUGUAUGAUGAACAACUGCGAAAGCAUUUGACUAGGAUGUUCCCG
rnacentral:rRNA from 1 species